rnacentral:rRNA from 1 species
GACGAACGCUGGCGGCGCGCUUAACACAUGCAAGUCGAACGGAAAGGCCUGCUUUCCCUUGUGGAUUGCGGGUACUCGAGUGGCGAACGGGUGAGUAACACGUGAGUGAUCUGCCCCCAACUUGGGUAUAAGCCUGGGAAACUGGGUCUAAUUCCCGAUAGGACUGCAGGGUGGUGCCUGUGGUGGAAAACGAUUUUCUAGUGGUUGGGGAUGAGCUCGCGGCCUAUCAGCUUGUUGGUGGGGUAAUGGCCUACCAAGGCGGCGACGGGUAGCCGGCCUGAGAGGGUGGACGGCCACAUUGGGACUGAGAUACGGCCCAGACUCCUACGGGAGGCAGCAGUGGGGAAUAUUACACAAUGGGCGGAAGCCUGAUGCAGCGACGCCGCGUGGGGGAUGACGGCCUUCGGGUUGUAAACUCCUUUCGACCGCGAGGAAGCCACCUGGUUGGAAGGGUGGUGACGGUAGUGUUAGAAGAAGCACCGGCUAACUACGUG